rnacentral:rRNA from 1 species
UACGGAGGGUGCAAGCGUUAAUCGGAAUUACUGGGCGUAAAGCGCACGCAGGUGGCUGAGUCAGUCGAUUGUGAAAGCCCUGGGCUUAACCUGGGAAUUGCAGUCGAUACUACUCAGCUAGAGUAUGGGAGAGGGUAGUGGAAUUCCCGGUGUAGCGGUGAAAUGCGUAGAUAUCGGGAGGAACAUCAGUGGCGAAGGCGGGUCUCUGGGCCGAUACUGACGCUGAGGAGCGAAAGCGUGGGGAGCGAACAGG